UUGGUCAAAAAGCCCAUGAGCC
rnacentral:snRNA from 1 species